GAGAGAGGCUAAUAGCAACGGAGACUGCUAAUCUCCCCCUCCUUGGUUAAACUCCAGGGCUCACUCG
rnacentral:tRNA from 1 species